rnacentral:rRNA from 1 species
GACGAACGCUGGCGGCGUGCUUAACACAUGCAAGUCGAACGGAAAGUGCUCUUCGGAGUGACUCGAGUGGCGAACGGGUGAGUAACACGUGGGUGAUCUGCCCUGCACUUUGGGAUAAGCCUGGGAAACUGGGUCUAAUACCGAAUAGGACCACGCGCUUCAUGGUGUGUGGUGGAAAGCUUUUGCGGUGUGGGAUGGGCCCGCGGCCUAUCAGCUUGUUGGUGGGGUAAUGGCCUACCAAGGCGACGACGGGUAGCCGGCCUGAGAGGGUGACCGGCCACACUGGGACUGAGAUACGGCCCAGACGCCUACGGGAGGCAGCAGUGGGGAAUAUUGCACAAUGGGCGCAAGCCUGAUGCAGCGACGCCGCGUGAGGGAUGACGGCCUUCGGGUUGUAAACCUCUUUCGGUAGGGACGAAGCGCAAGUGACGGUACCUAUAGAAGAAGGACCGGCCAACUACGUGCCAGCCGCCGCAGUAA